UGGAAACGUCCACAUCAUCUGGCUUUCCUAAUUGCAAUAGAGGACUUUCUUUCUCACCUCCUUCUAAACUGCCAGCAAGAAGAGGUGAAGUUUUGAAAAGUUUCACGAGUGGCCCAGCCCGUAGAUUCUCCAGACCUUUCAUCAGACCCUUUCCUGGGCCCCCAUCAGGACCAAGAAUUCCAAAUCGAUGCAGUAAGGCUUCAGCAUAGUUCAUUCCUCCACUUAGGCGCACCCCAGCAAUA
rnacentral:misc_RNA from 1 species